UGAGGAAUAUUGGGCAAUGCCCGCAAGGGUGACCCAGCAACGCCGCGUGGAGGAUGAAUGUCGUAAGAUUGUAAACUCCUGUUAGAGGGGAAGAAUAGUACCGGUUGGACCGGUAUAUGACUGUACCCUCAGAGAAAGCCCCGGCUAACUACGUGCCAGCAGCCGCGGUAAUACGUAGGGGGCAAGCGUUGUCCGGAUUUACUGGGUGUAAAGGGCGCGCAGGCGGGAUAAAAAGUCAGUGGUGAAAUCCUACAGCUUAACUGUAGAACUGCCUUUGAUACUUUUAUUCUUGAGUUCGAGAGAGAGAGACGGAAUUCCAGGUGUAGUGGUGAAAUACGUAGAUAUCUGGAAGAACACCAGUUGCGAAGGCGGUCUCUUGGUCCGACACUGACGCUGAGGCGCGAAAGCGCGGGGAGCAAACA
rnacentral:rRNA from 1 species